GAGUUUGAUCAUGGCUCAGGAUGAACGCUGGCGGCGUGCUUAACACAUGCAAGUCGAACGGAACAUAACCGAGGAAAUUUUUCGAAGUGGAAUCGGUUACGUUUAGUGGCGGACGGGUGCGUAACACGUGGGCAACCUGCCCUGCUUUUCGGAAUAACGCCGGGAAACCGUCGCUAAUGCCGAAUGAUAUGAGAAGAAGGCAUCUUUUUUUCAUCAAAGAAUUUCGAAGCAGGAUGGGCCCGCGCCGGAUUAGCUGGUUGGUGAGGUAACGGCUCACCAAGGCGACGAUCCGUAGCCGACCUGAGAGGGUGAUCGGCCACACUGGAACUGAGACACGGUCCAGAUUCCUACGGGAGGCAGCAGUGGGGAAUAUUGCACAAUGGGCGAAAGCCUGAUGCAGCAACGCCGCGUGAGCGAUGAAGGCUUUCGAGUCGUAAAGCUCUGUCGCAGGGGAAGAAA
rnacentral:rRNA from 1 species